UUAAGGGGACAAUACAUCUGUUCCGUAAAUCACAGAGAUCAUUGGUUGGAAAGUUAACACAUGAAUUUAGGUUGGUUGCAGCAGAUAGAAGGUCCUGGAAGAUUUUGCUGUUUGGUGCUAUAAAUUUAAUAUGUAUUGGCUUCCUGCUCAUGUGGUGCAGCUCUACAAACAGCAUAGCUUUAACUGCUUACACAUAUUUGACAAUCUUUGACCUUUUCAGGUGAGUUUUUUUCUCAUUUUGUCUUACUCUUCAUUUGUCCCUG